rnacentral:tRNA from 1 species
GCCCGGAUGGUGGAACAGGCAGACACAAGAGACUUAAAAUCUCUCGGCCAAUGGCUGUGCGGGUUCGACCCCCGCUCCGGGCACCA